rnacentral:rRNA from 1 species
GAUGAACGCUGGCGGCGUGCCUAAUACAUGCAAGUCGAGCGAACAGACGAGGAGCUUGCUCCACUGACGUUAGCGGCGGACGGGUGAGUAACACGUGGAUAACCUACCUAUAAAACUGGGAUAACUUCGGGAAACCGGAGCUCAUACCGGAUAAUAUAUUGAACGGCAUGGUUCAAUAGUUAAAGACAGUUUUGCUGUCGCUUACAGAUGGAUCGGCGACGCAGUAGCUAGUUGGUGAGGUCACGGCUCACCAAGGCAACGAUGUGUAGCCGGCCUGAGAGGACGACCGGCCACACUGGGACUGAGACACGGCCCAGACUCCUACGGGAGGCAGCAGGGGGGAAUUUUGGACAAUGGGCGCAAUCCUGAUCCAGCAAUGCCGCGUGCAGGAAGAAGGCCUUCGGGUUGUAAACUGCUUUUGUACGGAACGAAACGGCUCUGGUUAAUACCCGGGCGUAAUGACGGUACCGAAAGAAUAAGCACCGGCUAACUACGUG